UGUACAUGUGCAUCCUGUAAGUGUGUAUAGAAGGCAGUGUGUAUAUGUAUAUCCUGUAAAUGUGUAUAGAAGGAAGUGUGUACUCGUGCAUCCUGUAAGCAUGUAUAGAAGAAGGUAGUGUGCACAUGUGCAUCCUGUAAGUAUGUGUAGAAGGUAGUGUGCACAUGAGCAUCCUGUAAGUGUGUAUAGAAGGUAGUGUGCACAUGUGCAUCCUGUAAGUAUGUGUAGAAGGUAGUGUGCAUAUGUGCAUCCUGUAAGUGUGUGUAGAAGGUAGUGUGCACAUGUGCAUCCUGUAAGUGUGUAUAGAAGGUAGUGUGCACAUGUGCAUCCUGUAAGUAUGUGUAGAAGGUAGUGUGCACAUGUGCAUCCUGGAAGUAUGUGUAGAAGGUAGUGUGCACAUGUGCAUCCUGUAAGUGUGUGUAGAAGGUAGUGUGCAUAUGUGCAUCCUGUAAGUAUGUGUAGAAGGUAGUGUGCACAUGUGCAUCCUGUAAGUGUGUGUAGAAGGUAGUGUGCAUAUGUGUAUCCUGUAAGUGUGCAGAAGGUAGUGUGCACAUGUGCAUCCUGUAAGUGUGUAUAGAAGGAAGUGUGCACAUGUGCAUCCUGUAAGUGAGUGUAGAAGGAAGUGUGCACAUGUGCAUCCUGUAAGUAUGUGUAGAAGGUAGUGUGCACAUGUGCAUCCUGUAAGUGAGUGUAGAAGGUAGUGUGCACAUGUGCAUCCUGUAAGUGUGUGUAGAAGGUAGUGUGCACAUGUGCAUCCUGUGUGUAUAGAAGGAAGUGUGCACAUGUGCAUCCUGUAAGUGUGUAUAGAAGGUAGUGUGCACAUGUGCAUCCUGUAAGUGUGUGCAGAAGGUAGUGUGCAUAUGUGCAUCCUGUAAGUGAGUG
rnacentral:lncRNA from 1 species